ensembl:lncRNA
GUUCUACGUAUUCCCUAAGAAGUGCACAGUGUACGGGACUGGAGCGCCAUUUUGGCCACCUAGAUCCUAUUGUUGAUGCUGUGGUUGACCUCUUAAGAAAAGAGAUUUCAGGCUGCAGGGUUUGGGACCACUAGAGAUACUGUAGCAUCAAGGGACAUCUUGUUACAUUUCACGUGAGAUGUUUGUAUCGCUAUCACACAAUGACAAAGUCUUCACCUUGACUGCUGCAGGUAAUUCCUGGAGAGUUAUUGUCUUGUAUGUAAUUGAGUGUGGGGUUGCUAGGUGGACUGUAAGCAUUGAGGUAUUGUCUUGUAUCUAAUUGAGUGUGGGGUUGCUAGGUGGACUGUAAGCAUUGAGUUAUUGUCUUGUAUCUAAUUGAGUGGGGGGUUGCUAGGUGGACUGUAGGCAUUGAGGUAUUGUCUUGUAUGUAAUUGAGUGUGGGGUUGCUAGGUGGACUGUAAGCAUUGAGUUAUUGUCUUGUAUGUGAUUGAGUGGGGGGUUGCUAGGUGGACUGUAGGCAUUGAGUUAUUGUCUUGUAUCUAAUUCAGUGUGGGGUUGCUAGGUGGACUGUAAGCAUUGAGUUAUUGUCUUGUAUGUAAUUGAGUGUGGGGUUGCUAGGUGGACUGUAAGCAUUGAGUUAUUGUCUUGUAUCUAAUUGAGUGUGGGGUUGCUAGGUGGACUGUAAGCAUUGAGUUAUUGUCUUGUAUGUAAUUGAGUGUGGGGUUGCUAGGUGGACUGUAAGCAUUGAGUUAUUGUCUUGUUUGUAAUUGAGUGUGGGGUUGCUAGGUGGACUGUAGGCAUUGAGUUAUUGUCUUGUAUGUAAUUGAGUGUGGGG